rnacentral:lncRNA from 1 species
GAAUCUACAGACUAGUUGUUGAAUUAGCUCUCUCCUGUGUGUUAGAGAAUAGAAGUGCUCACAUGGCCUACCAGUUCCAGAACACCUUUCAGAGCUUUCGUUUUUUUUCCCCUGUCGGGCUACAUUUAGUCUUCCUGAUUUUAUAUAAAGUUCUGUCCUGUUAGGCUGUCCUGUUAGGCCGUCCUGUUAGGCCGUCCUGUUAGGCCGUCCUGUUAGUCCUGUUAGGCCGUCCUGUUAGUCCUGUUAGGCCGUCCUGUUAGUCCUGUUAGGCCGUCCUGUUAGUCCUGUUAGUCCUGUUAGGCCGUCCUGUUAGUCCUGU